rnacentral:lncRNA from 1 species
GAAAAGAAUAAGAUAAUGUUAUAGCAUACAACCUCCUUCAUCAUGCACAGCUUUAUCUCAACGACUCUUCGUUCUUAUCGUAACGCACGUGCUAAUCCACGACCAUAAUCAAACGAAACCGCCGAAGAUUUGGGAAUACGCAAACCGUAGCCUCGAUCAUAACUGUUCUUAAGCCUUGCAACCUCAGUUUGCGAACUCAUCUACCAUCACACCGUUGCCAUAUCCAUCACACUCCGUCGUGACCGCCUUGCCGCACAACCACCGGGAUCCCCGCCACACCUGGUUCGAAGCUUUGGAUUAGCAUCUCCGACUUUUCGACUCUCAAACUGAUUUCUGAUUGCUGAUCUAGUUGUAAGUAAACCGAACUUUUAUUGGUAAAUUGCGGUUUCGUUUUGAUGACUCCGGUGACUUUGAACCUGAUAUGAUUAACGAGUUUUAUUACCUUGAUAUAUUUAAAGUCCAGCAUGUGUGACUUAUGUAGCUAUGUUGUCAAAACUGAAAGAAGAAAAGAAGCUCAAAUAUAUGUGAACACCACACCAUAAAUUCUUU